rnacentral:tRNA from 1 species
GACUCCGUAGCUCAGUUGGUUAGAGCACGAUACUUUUAAUAUCGGGGUCCCGAGUUCGAAUCUCGGCGGAGUCA